GUGAGGAAUAUUGCGCAAUGGACGAAAGUCUGACGCAGCCAUGCCGCGUGAAGGAUUGACGGCCCUAUGGGUUGUAAACUUCUUUUGUAUAGGAAUAAACCCUCGUUCGUGAACGAGGCUGAAGGUACUAUAAGAAUAAGCACCGGCUAACUCCGUGCCAGCAGCCGCGGUAAUACGGAGGGUGCAAGCGUUAUCCGGCUUUAUUGGGUUUAAAGGGUCCGUAGGCGGAUCGUUAAGUCAGUGGUGAAAUCCUACCGCUCAACGGUAGAACUGCCAUUGAUACUGGCGAUCUUGAGUAUGUAUGAAGUGGGCGGGAUGUGUGGUGUAGCGGUGAAAUGCUUAGAUAUCACACAGAACACCGAGUGCGAAGGCAGCUGACUAAUACACUACUGACGCUGAGGGACGAAAGUGUGGGGAUCAAACAGGAUUAGAUACCCCAGUAGUCC
rnacentral:rRNA from 1 species